rnacentral:rRNA from 1 species
UACGGAGGGAGCUAGCGUUGUUCGGAAUUACUGGGCGUAAAGCGCACGUAGGCGGCGAUUCAAGUCAGAGGUGAAAGCCCGAGGCUCAACCUCGGAACUGCCUUCGAUACUGCGGGUCUCGAGUCCGGGAGAGGUGAGUGGAAUUCCUAGUGUAGAGGUGAAAUUCGUAGAUAUUAGGAAGAACACCAGUGGCGAAGGCGGCUCACUGGCUCGGUACUGACGCUGAGGCGCGAAAGCGUGGGGAGCAAACAGG